GUGGCGGCGUGCCUAACACAUGCAAGUCGAACGGAGAUUCAGAUGAAGCUUGCGAUUCUGAAUCUUAGUGGCGGACGGGUGAGUAACGCGUGGGUAAUCUGCCCUUAAGUGGGGGAAUAACAAGUCGGAAACGACUGCUAAUACCGCAUAAGCUGGCGGGAACACAUGUUUCUGUCAGGAAAGGUGGCCUCUUAACAAUGCUAAACCGCUUAAGGAUGAGCCCGCGUCUGAUUAGCUAGUAGGUGGGGUAAUGGCCUACCUAGGCGACGAUCAGUAGCCGGCCUGAGAGGGUGUACGGCCACACUGGAACUGAGACACGGUCCAGACUCCUACGGGAGGCAGCAGUGGGGAAUAUUGCGCAAUGGGGGAAACCCUGACGCAGCGACGCCGCGUGAACGAGGGAGCCCUUCGGGGUGUAAAGUUCUUUUCUAUACGAGCAGUGCUAUAUAUAUGGAUAGUAUAUAUAGAGGGAUAGUAGUAUAGGAAUAAGCAACGGCUAACUCCGUG
rnacentral:rRNA from 1 species